UUCUCUCUCUAUUUCUUUGAUUUUUCUUCACAUGCCUAAAACUUCCUCUUUCAAAUGCCCAUCUCAUUCGCUGAUUUUAUUCUCUUUUGAUCAUCUCUUUCUAAAUUUUUAAUCUUUUCUUCUUUAAUUCUCAUUUUUGGCUGAUUAUUCCUAGGGGUCUCUUUGGCUUCUUCUUCAACUUCAUAUUCAUCUUUUCCAUCUUAUCUCCUUCCAUUUCUAGCAAGAAUAAGCUUAAGUGUGAGGAAGCAAAUAUUCUGAAGUUAGAAUGUUUAGAUCGCGUGGAUGGUACCUAAUGUGUCUAUGUUUGAGGAAAAAUGGUGCAUCAAUAGUGGGUGGUCAUUUAGUUAGCGUUUGGGGUCGGAUCGUGUUAUUUCGCCAUUGAGAUUAUCGCUUGUUGAUUUGAGAUUGAGAGGCAAAGAGAUCAAAGCAAGGAGGCAUUUGUAAAGUUAUUUUGAACCUUGAUUUCAUUUUCAGGCACAUUUGGAUAUGUGUUGGCUUGUGCGUUCGCUACUUGUUAGUGUACAAGUGACCUUUAAUGACCUAUGUUGAACUUUGAUCAUUGAAUAUGUGAUAAAAUGAUAAAAGAUGAUGUUGAAUUACAUGUUAUGCAAUAUGUUUAAGUAUGCCUUAGGAGACUAAA